UAUACCUAUUUUUUUUUUUAUAUCAUACAUUCCAUUAUACUUAACACAUUUAUCUGCUUAUUAAUGCAAUUAACUUCGUAUAAAUGAUAAAUGUUCCGUAUUAAAUCAAUUUUUAUAUUUUCAGAAAUACUGCGUAUGCAAGCUGACGAUAAUACCACGUUGAUAAGCGUUAAUUCUCGUGUGAUCAGUAAAGUUUAAGUAACAUUGAGCAUGGUUAGUAUUUGAAUGAAUGUUGUCAUCUACUAUAUACGAUGUCAUCUACUAUAGAACUGAGUUAGAAAAAGGUUAUAUAGUGCUAUAUAAUACAAAGAAGAAGUUGCCAGCAAGGUUAGGAUUGAAAGUUCAUUCGAUACAUUGGUAGUAUAAACUACUACACCUUUAUGUUUUUGAAAAACGAGGCUAGUGAGAUCGGAUGAAAUUUAUUCAAAUAAGAUAGUAAGUAAUAAAAAUAUUGAUAGAAUUAUCUCUAUGUAUUGAUUUCAGUAUUCUUAAUUUGCUAUUCAAUGAUUUUAUAAUAUGCAAUUUGAAAUGUAAAGAGAAUAAAUAUCACAGAAAACAUUGCUAGGAGAAAUGCGUUAGGUUUUGAAGUUCCACAGUUUCUUAUUGAAAUUGUAAAAGCCACGAACAAUGUUUUAUAUGGGAUAACUACAAAGAUAGUAAAAAGAAUGGAAACAAGACUUCGACGAAGGAAGGAGGAGCUAUCUGAAACACUGUUUUCUGACGUAUCAACGGAUGACAAGCUGCUUCAAAAUUUUUCUUCGAGCAACUGGUGUAAAUAUAAAAUCGUUAGAGCAAAGCUUUAUCUACAAGACUUCUUUACCUGAGCUGAUUUUAAGGCUACUUUACAGAAAUUUGGCAAAUUCAAAUGUAAUGAAGAAAUGUCUCGCAAAGAAAACACAAUGUAAAUAAAUUAUUCAAAAAUACUGUGUGAACAAGUGUAUCAAAAAAUGUAUUUGUGAAGUCUCAUAUAUUGAAACUUAAUGUAUAUGAUAUUGUCAUUAUAUUUACUGAUGGUAAUACAGGCAGAUUGAAAAAGUUAAGAGGUAAAAUAACCAUACUGAAAGAACUGAACAAGCAGAAAGUUAAUAAAGUACACCUACAAGCCGAAAUAUUGUCUAAAAUGAUAAGAUCUUUGGAAAAAUGAAAGAGAAUUUAUUUGGAUAAUACAGAAGAAGAUAGACAUUACAGUGAUGAAUGGUUUUAACUGUUGUUUUUACUAAAACUUAUUUUCUACACUGAGAAAGAAGAAAUCGAAAUUUCAAUAUGACAUAGUUAUAGUCAAAAGAAAUUGUACUUUAGUAAAUCUGGAUUUCUCGACGACCGAUAGGACAAUAUUUAUAUACAAUGUUUCCAUUGUUUUUCAUGUUGCGAUGAUUGUGAGAUUCAAUGAGAAAAUAAAAUCGACUACAACUAUUAACAUUCGAAGUCUGCAAUAAAUUUGUCCAAGGAAAUGCUGGAAUUAAAGGAAAUUCGAACUUUGUCUUUUACAUACGUAUUUAUAUAUAUGUGCAUUUUAAUAUUUUUUUUUAAACGAAAUGUCUAUAGUAAAAGUAAGUCAGCGACGAGAUGAAAUGAAAAUGAAAUGAAAAAAAGAAAAUGAAUACAAAAGAGAAAGAUAUAUAAAAAUGUGAUGAGAGAGAGAGUAAGAUAGAAUGUUAACUUCGCAUUUUUAUUUAUUUGUACGUUUUUUUAGUUCUUAAGAGAGAGGUUUUGAUAAGUAUCUGUAAUAAAAUAUUAGAUGAUAUAAAUAAUCAAGUCAUGUUUUGGUUGCGUCAAGAUUUAUUAUAAAUACUAACCUGUUUAUUUAAAAUGAUGAUGAAUUAUUACAUUUACAAUUAUUUCAAUUGAGAUACUGAUAGUUUUUGUAUUAAUUUGUUUAAUACUGAUCACUUGUAUUAUGUAUUGAUAUUUUAUUAUUAAUAAUGACCAUUAACAUAUUUAAAAUAUUGAUUAAAAACGUUGAAAAAUAUUGACCUAAUAAAUAGAAAUUUUUAACUAAAUUAAUUUAACUUAAGGAAGUUUCAGUUUUAUUGUGUGAUAUCGCGUGAUAGACGUAAUCAAUUGUAUUUUUAUAUAUGUGUAUAUAUAUAUAUAUAUAUAUAUAUAUAUAUAUAUAUAUAUAAAAUUGAAGACAAAUUUUUUAAUUAUCUUUCUUUCGCUCUAGAAAUAUCAUAUCUUUCGUUUAAAUUGAAAUAAUUAAAUUGAUGGAAUAUCAUGGAACGUGAAUACUUUUGAAAGCAUAUUAUGUAAUAUGUAAUCGUAAUAAGAGAUUAAGUACGAGCGAUGAUUAUAUUCAUAAAUACUUGUACGUAUCAUAAAUAUUUGUACGUAUUCUUGUCUCAUUGUUUGUAACCUUGACACAAAGUUAUAUCUGUAAACAGAGCAAUUGUUUCGUAUAAAAAAAAAUUUUGAAAUAUAAAGAUUCAAGCUUCUAGCGGAACCAGCGACUAUUCGAAAUCUCAUUUAAUCGUUCGAGGCAACAAGAGAUACAUUAUUUCGAGGCUAUUAAAGUUUAGUUAUAAUAUAUAUUCAAUUAAGUUGGAACGUCGUACGAGUUUGCGAUGUGCCAGACGCUUCGAAGGAUAGAGAAGGAAGAUGAUACUGUACAAGAACGUAUCUGCCAUUAAAAUAUACCGUCGUGCGUUAUUAACUGCUGAUCUAGUUCGAAAUAAUUUUGUUUUUAACAAAAAAAAAUCUUUUCCGUUUGAUUUGUGAAGAAAAACAAGAAAACCAUGCCAACGUGGAGAGGAUAUGUCACCAGCACACGCUCAAAAUAUUAAAUGGAAAUAAGUUCGAAACAAAGUAUUAUCAUUUAUGGGGGACGAAAUCGACCAGAAAUACGUCUUCGACUAAGUUGAUUGAAACGAUUCAUUGGAAGAUUACAAGACUCAAGAAAGAAAAAGAUAACAAAGCAAUAAUUACGUAAUUCCAACGGAUUGUAUAGUUAAAGUAAUGAACAUAUAUAACCGGGGAAUGAUUAUGGUUACAUAGAUUUUUCAUAAUCUUCCGAGAAAAAAAAAAACUAAAAAUAGAUGUUCCAGUUUAAAAUUUAUAGAUUGCCAAUUGAUUUUUUUGAUUUAUAGAUUGAUGAUGAAAAUUUAUAGAUUAAGAUUCGACGAUGUGGGUAAAACGUGUUAAAAAUAAUGGGUGGAUAAAAUGAUGCAACAAACGAUUCAUAGUUCGUGUGUUAGAACAGAGAAGAUUCGAUAAUAUUGUCAACAAGUAAAAAAUACGAAGCUUUUAGCGAUAUCCUUUGUCUGUUGUAAGUCAAUUUCAAAAUUUUAAUUUAAUAAUGCUCCGGUUUAUUUAUGCAAUUUCAAAUUAUUCGAAUGGAAGCAUCGAAUACACAAAAAAUAAAAUUAACAAGACAUGUGUUCCAAAUGAGAAAGAGGAAACGUUACGAUAACGAAUGAAACGUUGAUUCUUACGAGAAAUUCUCAAUUUCAAAUUCAUAUUCUCACAUCGCGAAGAUUCGUUUGCUUGUGGGAAAAAUUCUCGGAUCAAAAUUCAAAACGAUAUUCGGAAUACUUACGGACAUUGAACAGGUAUUAAAAAAAAAUAUGUAUCCAUUAUAAUAGAUGAAAAUGAAAUUUUAUUCGAUAUAAUAAUUAAUAUUAUCCUUUCCGAAAUAUUUUUUGUGGUUGUCAAUAUUACUUCAUCUUGGACAGAACAAUUUUUCGUCAUGGUUCAAAACAGAAAGUAAAUUGCAUAGGUCACUCUUUUUUAACACAACACAUUAUGCUAUUUAGAAAAAUGUUUUAAACAAAACGAAUACCAUCGAUUUUUAUGUCUACUUGCAAGUGACAACUGAGGAUCAUUUGGACCCAAAAGGAAGAAGAGAGAGAGCGAAUUCAAAGAUCUAUGGAUCAAUAUAUUAAAAAAAUUUAUCAAAAGCGUCGUUGUCACAUAAACGAAGUCUGGAAAAUUCUUGAUGUAGUUUUAAUAAGAUUUUGUUGUCUUUUUAAAUGACAUUUUAAAGUCAGAAAAGAAUUUUACUUUUAUCCGAUUGAUUCUUGAAAGAGAAUAUACUUAUCUGGUUUUAUGCACUAGAAUAUUUUAAUAGUAUAAGUGUAUACUAUUAUGUAUUAUCAAACUCAAAAUAAACCUUUCUCGGGCUCAAUCGCAUACAAAGAACGUUUUUUGUAAGUAGAUGUCCAGUUUCGUUGAAUUUGUUUAGAAUUGUUCAUACUUGCUUGUAAAUUUCACAUGAAACGUGAAAUUUUAUUACCGAUGAAGUUACUAUAAAAAAUUGCGAUUACCAAAUUCUGCUGAAAUUUUACUCUUAAAAAUUUUACUUCUAGACAUCUUCUCUUCCGUUAUUAUUUAUAGACAUACAAUGAAC